rnacentral:rRNA from 1 species
UGUGUAGGUGGCGCGCUAAGUCGGGUGUGAAAUUUCGGAGCUUAACUCCGAAACUGUAUUCGAUACUGGCGUGCUUGAGGACUGGAGAGGAGACUGGAAUUUACGGUGUAGCAGUGAAAUGCGUAGAUAUCGUAAGGAAGACCAGUGGCGAAGGCGGGUCUCUGGACAGUUCCUGACACUGAGACACGAAGGCCAGGGGAGCAAACG